AAAAAGACGAACGCAAAAGGGCUGGUGAAAUAGUAAGUGGAUAUAGUGACCUUGACCUAUCUUUGUUAUUCUAGUGGUGGAUGGGUCAGUCAGUUUCCACCGUCGCCGGAGCUCAAAACCGUAUAAAGUCUAGAUCUUCGCCGGUGAUUUCUUCUAUGAAGGAAAUUGAUGAUUCCGACGAUGUUAUCGAUGUAUUCGAUGUAGGAGAGUUUGAUUAUUCUUCUAAUAUUCCUGAUGAGUGUUUAGCUUGCAUUUUCCAUUUCCUUAGCUCAGGUGACCGGAAAAGUUCUUCUCUCGUCUGCCGCCGUUGGCUCCGUGUGGAAGGCCAGAGCCGUCACCGUCUCUCGCUUAAUGCACAAUCGGAACUUGUGGCUGUUGUUCCUGUGAUUUUCUCUAGGUUUGAUUCGGUAACGAAACUCGCUUUGAAAUGUGACCGUAGAUCUGCGAGUAUUGGGGAUGAGGCGUUGGUGCUUAUCUCUUUAAGGUGCCGGAACCUAACUCGUUUGAAGCUUCGGUCGUGCCGGGAGCUUACUGAUGCUGGAAUGGAAUCUUUUGCGAAGAACUGUAAGGGUUUGAAGAAACUAUCUUGUGGAUCUUGUGCUUUUGGAGCUAAAGGGAUGAACGCCGUGUUGAAUAACUGCUCGGCUCUGGAAGAGUUGUCCGUGAAGCGGCUGCGUGGUAUCACAGAUGGGGCUGCAGCUGAGCCAAUUGGUCCUGGUGUUGCAGGGGGUUCUCUGAGAGUUAUUUGCCUUAAGGAACUCUACAAUGGACAGUGUUUUGGACCGUUGAUUAUUGGAUCGAAGAGUUUGCGGACGCUGAAGCUGUUCCGUUGUUCUGGAGAUUGGGAUAAGAUUCUGGAAGUGAUUGCUGAACAAGUCAGUGAACUUGUUGAAAUUCAUCUUGAGAGGCUUCAGGUCAGUGAUACCGGUCUUGCUGCUAUAUCUAAAUGUUCCAUUCUUGAAAUUCUGCACCUUGUGAAAACGCCUGAAUGCACUAAUAAUGGUCUAAAGACUGUUGCUGAAAACUGUAAGCUUCUAAGAAAGCUUCACAUUGAUGGGUGGAAGACUAACAGGAUAAGUGAUGAUGGGUUAAUUGCUGUGGCAAAACAUUGCCCCAAUUUACAAGAAUUGGUUUUAAUAGGUGUGAAUCCAACAUGUGCUAGUUUGGAGAAGUUGGCUACAAAUUGCUUGAAUUUAGAGAGAUUAGCUCUGUGUGGAAGUGAAACUGUUGGGGAUCCAGAACUGUCGUGCAUAGCUGCGAAAUGUAUUGCAUUAAGAAAACUUUGUAUAAAGAGUUGCCCAGUAUCCGAUCAGGGUAUGGAAGCGCUUGCUAGUGGAUGCCCAAAUUUGGUAAAAGUAAAGGUUAAGAAAUGUAGAUUGGUGACUUCUGGAAGUGCAGAUUGGUUGCGGACAACUAGGGGUUCCAUUGCUGUGAACUUGGAUACACCUGAACCUGAAAAUCCUGAUGCAAGUGCCAGUGAUGGUGGUUUGCCUGAAGUUGGCAAUGAAAUUAGGCAGGUGGCUGGCCAAGUAAGAGGUGUAAGUAUUGCAUCAAGCAGUACUGGGAGGUCAAAUUCCUUUAAGGCCAGGCUAGGACUUACAACAGGAAGGAAUCUGGUGGCUUGCACAUUCAGAAGGUGGUCGAGCUUUGGUGGGAGUUCGAGUUCCAGUUCCAGAAAUAAUUAGAAAAAAGGAGUUGACUGAGAUCAAUCUUAUGCUCAAAUAUUCUGCUAUUGAAGUUAUUUGACUUUUAUUACAUUUAUAUAUUCUUGAAUUUGCAUGCUAGUUAAUGCAACAACAGAUUCAGCCUUCAUGGUUGGACCUUGUUCGUGAGUUUUCCUUCUUUUUGUUUUUGCUUAUGUUGAUGCUAUUUUUGGGCUUGGUAUGCUCCUUCAACGUGGAGUUCUUCAUUUCUCCUGGGAGAGGA
rnacentral:misc_RNA from 1 species